rnacentral:tRNA from 1 species
GUUCGAGUAGUUCAAUGGAUAGAAUCUCUCCCUCCGACGGAGAUGAUAUGGGUUCGACUCCCGUCUCGAACACCA